rnacentral:rRNA from 1 species
GAUGAACGCUGGCGGCGUGCCUAAUACAUGCAAGUCGAGCGAAUGGAUUAAGAGCUUGCUCUUAUGAAGUUAGCGGCGGACGGGUGAGUAACACGUGGGUAACCUGCCCAUAAGACUGGGAUAACUCCGGGAAACCGGGGCUAAUACCGGAUAACAUUUUGAACCGCAUGGUUCGAAAUUGAAAGGCGGCCUCGGCUGUCACUGAUGGAGGGACCGGCGUCGCAUUAGCUAGUUGGUGAGGUAACGGCUCACCAAGGCAACGAUGCGUAGCCGACCUGAGAGGGUGAUCGGCCACACUGGGACUGAGACACGGCCCAGACUCCUACGGGAGGCAGCAGUAGGGAAUCUUCCGCAAUGGACGAAAGUCUGACGGAGCAACGCCGCGUGAGUGAUGAAGGCUUUCGGGUCGUAAAACUCUGUUGUUAGGGAAGAACAAGUGCUAGUUGAAUAAGCUGGCACCUUGACGGUACCUAACCAGAAAGCCACGGCUAACUACGUGCCAGCCGCCGCCGUAA